GACAGGGGAUGCAAGUGUUAUCCGGAAUCAUUGGGCGUAAAGCGUCCUCAGGUGGAUUUUCAAGUCUUUUGUUAAAGUACGAAGCUUAACUUCGAGUCUGCAGAAGAAACUGGGAAUCUUGAGUUUGGUAGAGGUAAAGGGAAUUUUCAGUGUAGCAGUGAAAUGCGUAGAUAUUGAGAAGAACACCAAAGGCGAAAGCACUUUACUGGGCCAUAACUGACACUCAUAGACGUAAGCUAGGGGAGCAAACCGG
rnacentral:misc_RNA from 1 species